rnacentral:rRNA from 1 species
UACGGAGGGUGCGAGCGUUAAUCGGAAUUACUGGGCGUAAAGCGUGCGCAGGCGGUCUUGCAAGACAGAUGUGAAAUCCCCGGGCUCAACCUGGGAACUGCAUUUGUGACUGCAAGGCUGGAGUACGGUAGAGGGGGAUGGAAUUCCGCGUGUAGCAGUGAAAUGCGUAGAUAUGCGGAGGAACACCGAUGGCGAAGGCAAUCCCCUGGACCUGUACUGACGCUCAUGCACGAAAGCGUGGGGAGCAAACAGG